AAAGCCUUAGCUUAAUUAAAGCACCUGCUUUGCACGCAGGAGAUGUGGGAUAGUGUCCGGCAGGCUUUA
rnacentral:tRNA from 1 species